UACGUAGGUGGCAAGCGAUACUCGGAAUCACUAGGCGUAAAGCGCAGGUAGGUGGUUUGGUAAGUCUUUUGUGAAAGCUCCUGGCUUAACUGGGAGAGGUCAAAGGAAACUACCAGGCUAGAGUUUGGUAGGGGAUACUGGAAUUCCUGGUGUAGCGGUGAAAUGCGUAGAUAUCAGGAGGAAUACCUAUGGCGAAAGCAGGUAUCUGGGCCAUAACUGACACUGAGCUGCGAAAGCUAGGGGAGCAAACAGG
rnacentral:rRNA from 1 species